CGCGGCCUAUCAGCUUGUUGGUGAGGUAACGGCUCACCAAGGCGUCGACGGGUAGCCGGCCUGAGAGGGCGACCGGCCACACUGGGACUGAGAUACGGCCCAGACUCCUACGGGAGGCAGCAGUGGGGAAUAUUGCGCAAUGGGCGAAAGCCUGACGCAGCAACGCCGCGUGCGGGAUGACGGCCUUCGGGUUGUAAACCGCUUUCAGCAGGGACGAAGCAACACGUGACGGUACCUGCAGAAGAAGCACCGGCCAACUACGUGCCAGCAGCCGCGGUGAUACGUAGGGUGCGAGCGUUGUCCGGAAUUAUUGGGCGUAAAGAGCUUGUAGGCGGUCUAUUGCGUCGAAAGUGAAAACUCAGGGCUCAACCCUGAGCCUGCUCUCGAUACGGGUAGACUUGAGGGAUGUAGGGGAGAACGGAAUUCUUGGUGGAGCGGUGGAAUGCGCAGAUAUCAGGAGGAACACCGGUGGCGAAGGCGGUUCUCUGGACAUUUCCUGACGCUGAGAAGCGAAAGCGUGGGUAGCAAACAGGCUUAGAUACCCUGGUAGUCCACGCCGUAAACGGUGGGUACUAGGUGUGGGGGACAUUCCACGUUCUCCGUGCCGCAGCUAACGCAUUAAGUACCCCGCCUGGGGAGUACGG
rnacentral:rRNA from 1 species